ACACAAACACACACACACACACAAACUAUAUCCUGAACUGUUGUGAAAUUUGAUGUUCAUGAUAUGCAUGAAUAAAGUAUUGAAAAAUUGUCAAUUGCCAAAGGUUUUUAUUCAGGAAUGAGAAAGUUCCUAUAACAUACACAUUUAUAAUAUGCAUCAUUUCACAUAACGAAUCAUCUCAAUUUCUUUUCUCCUUUGUAGGGCACAAAAAAUUUGUGGUUCUA
rnacentral:misc_RNA from 1 species